CAUAACUUCAACCGAGAUAAACUUGUGCAGUAUCUUAAUCUAAGCUUGGUCUCGGUCCGUCUUCAUCUCGCCCGUUAAAGGGUCACCCCGCUUAUUCUUAUAUCGUCUCGCUCCCAUUGCAUCGUGUUUGCAGGUCUUCUUCUCCGCUUCUCUGAGGCAUUCCAGAUUGCAUCGCGUUUGCAGGUCUUCUUCCCCUCUUCUCCAGAAACAGUAGCAUGUGGACCAAAGAACAUCAAACAAGCGGCGAUGAUGACCCAAGUAUGCUAUCAUACGAAUUGAUAAAACAUAUUACAAAUAAUUUCGACAAGGAGCGAAUACUUGGGAGUGGUAAAUUCGGAACGACUUACAAGGAAGAAACCUAGAGUUCACCAGGCUGGCUGAAGUUAUGAGGCUGGGAGGCUGAUAGUGCUGCUACUGGCUGAUCCUUCUUCUUUCAGCUUUUGUUCGUCCUUUCUCAAGCCAUUGGACCAGGGCUAGUUCCCUAUGUGCUGUUAAUGUAUUAUGUAGUUCCUUCGAAUUUGUAGUAUUAGUUAGUUUGAAUGUGGAAGUACCUUAAUUUUUAGGAACGAAAUGUUGCUAUGUAUGACCAAGGGUUUGAUACCUUAAUCUUUGGAUAUUUAGUUAUGUGAA